CAACUUUCCGAACAACUUGAUCUCUAAACAAAAUUCGAUCUAUUAUGAAAACUUUCCAAAAGCACUCUUGAUUGGAUUCGGACUCGAACUUGCGGCUGAAAACUAUAACUUGCCGACUCAAUGUAGAACUCGAUGUAGGACACGGUGUAGGACUCGACGAGGGACUCGGUGUAGGACUCGAUGAGGGACUCGGUGUAGGACUCCAAGAGGGACUCGGUGUAGGACUCGAAGAGAGACUCGGUGGAAGAUAUGGUGGCGGCGGGAGAUUAUGGCGGUGGUGUGGCAGGAAGUUUGGCGGCGGAAGAUUGAUGAAGGAAACCUGCGUCACACGAAGAACAAGAAAACCAAAAGCAAGUUCGAUCUAGUAGAAAAAAUCUGAAAAACGAUCCAAUCUAAUCCAGCAACUCGACACGAUUAAUGCAGCAAAGAUUCAACAAUGCAAAUACUAAAGUGAAAAUUGCAAGGCUCAGAUUGGUUCUAGGACAAGGUAACUAAUUCUAAUUUUUAUUUGGCUUUUUCUGGACGAUAGGUAAAAACAGAUCUAAACUACGGAUAAACUGGAAAAAUCUCACCGAGCAACCUUAAGCUCUGAUACCACGUGAUACGGGUGCGGGUGGCCCGAUCUUUCGAUGAGAUUGGUAACUCUCGAUUUGGGUAGGAGGUGACGUUGACGAUCCGACUACGGCCUAGGAGGCAGCGCCUUAGCAAUCGAUACACCAACUCCAAAGGGUUAUUGAUCACGCGGGGGCACGAUCAACCUGACCACGAAGGUCUUUGUUCCUGCAAGCAAUCGAAGAACAAGCAAGAACAAGAUAAAUAGCGGAUGCAAUCUAAAAUUGCGAAUAUACUAUAUCAAACCAAUGUCUCAACGAGACGAUAAGUUGGAGUCUUGACGACGGUAAAACAGGUGGUCUAACCGACACACGCGAUUACACGAAAGUAGCAAAGAUGGCUAAACUUUAUCUAAUCAAAACCCCAGAAACUCACGCAAAAGAACGACCGGAAAACUGUACGUCGGUCUGUCGAAGAACAGCAAAGGCUGCAGUAAGAAAAAUCUAGAAAAAUAUGGAAAAAUAUGGGUUAGAAGGGUAUCGACACAAGCUUUCCAGCAAGGGCAAGAUCACUCAAAACGGAUGUCGGACAAUGGAGAAAACUGAGAAACACCGGGCUGCAGCGACGCCGGAAAACGGAUGCAGAAACUUGGAAGCUCAGAAAGUCCACCUUACAAACCGAAUUUGGGGGUCAAAGUGCAGGGCAACGCCCUGGAUAUUUCCUGAUGCGCCUCGUCCUGAGCUUUCCAAAAAGUCCAAGAACGUCCAAAUCCGAGUUGGUACGCAAAAGAUACGCCCGUUUUACUGAACACGGGUCAAACCCACCCGAAACUAAAAUUCUACUCGGACUCGGGUCCGAAACUGACUCGAACUCUUUUUUUUUUUCUUUUUUUUUUCUUUCUUUCUUUCCUUUUUUUUUUUCUUUCCUUUCUUUUUUUUUUUCAAAUUUCCAAACAACUUGAUCUCUAAACAAAAUUCGAUCUAUGAUGAAACACUUUCCAAAAGCACUCCUUAUUGGACUCGGACUCGGAUUCGCGGCUGAAAACUAUAACUUGCCGACUCGGUGUAGGACUCGAAGAGGGACUCGGUGUAGGACUCGAUGAGGGACUCGGUGUAGGACUCCAAGAGGGACUCGGUGUAGGACUCGAUGAGGGACUCGGUGUAGGACUCCAAGAGGGACUCGGUGGAAGAUAUGGUGGCGGCGGAAGAUUAUGGCGGUGGUGUGGCAGGAAGUUUGGCGGCGGAAGAUUGAUGAAGGAAACCUGCGUCACACGAAGAACAAGAAAACCAAAAGCAAGUUCGAUCUAGUAGAAAAAAUCUGAAAAACGAUCCAAUCUAAUCCAGCAACUCGACACGAUUAAUGCAGCAAAGAUUCAACAAUGCAAAUACUAAUGUGAAAAUUGCAAGGCUCAGAUUGGUUCUAGGACAAGGUAACUAAUUCUAAUUUUUGUUUGGCUUUUUCUGGACGAUAGGUAAAAACAGAUCUAAACUACGGAUAAACUGGAAAAAUCUCACCGAGCAACCUUAAGCUCUGGUACCACGUGAUACGGGUGCGGGUGGCCCGAUCUUUCGAUGAGAUUGGUAACUCUCGAUUUGGGUAGGAGGUGACGUUGACGAUCCGACUACGGCCUAGGAGGCAGCGCCUUAGCAAUCGAUACACCAACUCCAAAGGGUUAUUGAUCACGCGGGGGCACGAUCAACCUGACCACGAAGGUCUUUGUUCCUGCAAGCAAUCGAAGAACAAGCAAGAACAAGAUAAAUAGCGGAUG
rnacentral:lncRNA from 1 species